rnacentral:rRNA from 1 species
UACGUAGGGGGCUAGCGUUGUUCGGAUUUACUGGGCGUAAAGCGCGCGUAGGCGGAUUGUUAAGUCCGGGGUGAAAUCCCGGAGCUCAACUCCGGAACUGCCUUUGAUACUGGCAAUCUUGAGGCUGGAAGAGGUGGGUAGAAUUCCCAGUGUAGAGGUGAAAUUCGUAGAUAUUGGGAAGAAUACCAGUGGCGAAGGCGGCCAACUGGGCCAUAACUGACGCUGAGGUGCGAAAGCGUGGGGAGCAAACAGG